GACGAACGCUGGCGGCGUGCCUAACACAUGCAAGUCGAGCGAUGAGGUUCCUUCCGGAACGGAUUAUCGGCGGACGGGUGAGUAACACGUGGGCAACCUGCCUUAGACAGGGGAAUAGCCUUCCCAAAGGAAGAUUAAUACCGCAUAAGAUUGUAGCUUCGCAUGAGCAGGCAAUUAGAGGAGCAAUCCGCUAUAGGAUGGGCCCGCGGCGCAUUACCUAGUUGGUGAGGUAACGGCUCACCAAGGCGACGAUGCGUAGCCAACCUGAGAGGGCGAUCGGCCACGUUGGGACUGAGACACGGCCCAGACUCCUACGGCAGGCACCAGUGGGAAAUAUUGCACAAUGAGCGAAACCCUGAUGCAACAACGCCACGUGAGUGAUGACGGCCUUCGAGUUGUGACGCUCUGUCUUUGGGGACUAUAAUGACGGAACCCAGAGAGGAAGCCGCGGCUAACUACGUGCCAACAGCCCCGCUAAUACAAACGUGGCAAGCGUUGUCCGGAUUUACUGGGCGUAAAGGGAGCGUACGAGGAUUUUUAAGUGUGAUGUGAAAUACCCGGGCUCAACCUGGGUGCUGCAUUCUGAACUGAAAAUCUAGAGUGCACGAGGGGAAAGUGUAAUUCCUAGUGUAGACGUGAAAUGCGUAGAGAUUAGGAAAAAUCACCAGUGGCGAAGGCAACUUUCUGGACUGUAACUGACGCUGAGGGGUCGAAAGCGUGGCGAGUAAACAGGAUUAGAUACAGUGGUAGUCCUCGCCGUAAACGAUGAAUAGUAGGUGUAGUGGUUGUCAUGACCUCUGUAGCGCCGCUAAUGCACUAUGUAUUCGGGGUGGGGAGUACGGUGGCAAGAUUUAAACUCAAAGGAAUUGACGGGGGCCCGCACAAGUAGCGGAGCAUGUGGUUUAAUUCGAAGCAACGAGAAGAACCUUAUCUAGACUUGACAUGUCAUGAAUUGACAUGUAAUGUUGGAAGUCCUUUCGGGGACAGGAAGACAGGUGGUGCAUGGUUGUCGUCAGCUCGUGUCGUGAGAUGUUGGGUUAAGUCCCGCAACGAGCGCAACCUUUAUUGUUAGUUGCUGCCAUUUAGUUGAGCACUCUAGCGAGACUGCCCGGGUUAAUCGGGAGGAAGGUGGGGAGGACGUCAAAUCAUCAUGCCCCUUAUGUCUAGGGUUACACACGUGUUCCAAUGGCCGGUACAACGAGAUGCAAUACCGUGAGGGGAAGCAAUACUAUAAAACCGGUCUCAGUUCGGAUUGUAGGCUGAAACUCGCCUACAUGAAGCUGGAGUUACUAGUAAUCGCGAAUCAGAAUGUCGCGGUGAAUACGUUCCCGGGCCUUGUACACACCGCCCGUCACACCAUGAGAGUUGGCAAUACCCAAAGUUGGUGAUGUAACCCGUAAGGGAGGAAGCCACCUAAGGUAGGGUCAGCGAUUGGGGUGAAGUC
rnacentral:rRNA from 1 species